rnacentral:rRNA from 1 species
UACGAACUGUGCAAACGUUAUUCGGAAUCACUGGGCUUAAAGGGUGCGUAGGCGGCUGUCUAAGUGAGGGUGUGAAAGCCCCCGGCUCAACCGGGGAAUUGCGCCCUAAACUGGAUGGCUGGAGUGGAGGCAGGGGUGGUGUGGAACUUCCGGUGGAGCGGUGAAAUGUGUUGAUAUCGGAAGGAACGCCGGUGGCGAAAGCGACACACU